rnacentral:rRNA from 1 species
UGUAUAAUGGGUCAGCGACUUAUAUUCUGUAGCAAGGUUAACCGAAUAGGGGAGCCGAAGGGAAACCGAGUCUUAACUGGGCGUUAAGUUGCAGGGUAUAGACCCGAAACCCGGUGAUCUAGCCAUGGGCAGGUUGAAGGUUGGGUAACACUAACUGGAGGACCGAACCGACUAAUGUUGAAAAAUUAGCGGAUGACUUGUGGCUGGGGGUGAAAGGCCAAUCAAACCGGGAGAUAGCUGGUUCUCCCCGAAAGCUAUUUAGGUAGCGCCUCGUGAACUCAUCUCCGGGGGUAGAGCACUGUUUCGGCAAGGGGGUCAUCCCGACUUACCAACCCGAUGCAAACUGCGAAUACCGGAGAAUGUUAUCACGGGAGACACACGGCGGGUGCUAACGUCCGUCGUGAAGAGGGAAACAACCCAGACCGCCAGCUAAGGUCCCAAAGUCAUGGUUAAGUGGGAAACGAUGUGGGAAGGCCCAGACAGCCAGGAUGUUGGCUUAGAAGCAGCCAUCAUUUAAAGAAAGCGUAAUAGCUCACUGGUCGAGUCGGCCUGCGCGGAAGAUGUAACGGGGCUAAACCAUGCACCGAAGCUGCGGCAGCGACGCUUAUGCGUUGUUGGGUAGGGGAGCGUUCUGUAAGCCUGUGAAGGUGUACUGUGAGGUAUGCUGGAGGUAUCAGAAGUGCGAAUGCUGACAUAAGUAACGAUAAAGCGGGUGAAAAGCCCGCUCGCCGGAAGACCAAGGGUUCCUGUCCAACGUUAAUCGGGGCAGGGUGAGUCGACCCCUAAGGCGAGGCCGAAAGGCGUAGUCGAUGGGAAACAGGUUAAUAUUCCUGUACUUGGUGUUACUGCGAAGGGGGGACGGAGAAGGCUAUGUUGGCCGGGCGACGGUUGUCCCGGUUUAAGCGUGUAGGCUGGUUUUCCAGGCAAAUCCGGAAAAUCAAGGCUGAGGCGUGAUGACGAGGCACUACGGUGCUGAAGCAACAAAUGCCCUGCUUCCAGGAAAAGCCUCUAAGCAUCAGGUAACAUCAAAUCGUACCCCAAACCGACACAGGUGGUCAGGUAGAGAAUACCAAGGCGCUUGAGAGAACUCGGGUGAAGGAACUAGGCAAAAUGGUGCCGUAACUUCGGGAGAAGGCACGCUGAUAUGUAGGUGAAGCGACUUGCUCGUGGAGCUGAAAUCAGUCGAAGAUACCAGCUGGCUGCAACUGUUUAUUAAAAACACAGCACUGUGCAAACACGAAAGUGGACGUAUACGGUGUGACGCCUGCCCGGUGCCGGAAGGUUAAUUGAUGGGGUUAGCGCAAGCGAAGCUCUUGAUCGAAGCCCCGGUAAACGGCGGCCGUAACUAUAACGGUCCUAAGGUAGCGAAAUUCCUUGUCGGGUAAGUUCCGACCUGCACGAAUGGCGUAAUGAUGGCCAGGCUGUCUCCACCCGAGACUCAGUGAAAUUGAACUCGCUGUGAAGAUGCAGUGUACCCGCGGCAAGACGGAAAGACCCCGUGAACCUUUACUAUAGCUUGACACUGAACAUUGAGCCUUGAUGUGUAGGAUAGGUGGGAGGCUUUGAAGUGUGGACGCCAGUCUGCAUGGAGCCGACCUUGAAAUACCACCCUUUAAUGUUUGAUGUUCUAACGUUGACCCGUAAUC